rnacentral:rRNA from 1 species
CAUGCAGGCGGUUAGACAAGUCGGAUGUGAAAUCCCUGAGCUUAACUUAGGAAUUGCAUUCGAUACUGGAGAGCUAGAGUAUGGGAGAGGAUGGUAGAAUUCCAGGUGUAGCGGUGAAAUGCGUAGAGAUCUGGAGGAAUACCGAUGGCGAAGGCAGCCAUCUGGCCUAAUACUGACGCUGAGGUACGAAAGCAUGGGGAGCAAACAGGAUUAGAUACCCGAGUA